GGGUGAGUAACACGUGGGUGAUCUGCCCUGCACUUCGGGAUAAGCCUGGGAAACUGGGUCCAAUACCGGAUAGGAGCCAUUUUUAGUGUGAUGGUUGGAAAGUUUUUCGGUGUAGGAUGAGCUCGCGGCCUAUCAGCUUGUUGGUGGGGUAAUGGCCUACCAAGGCGGCGACGGGUAGCCGGCCUGAGAGGGUGUACGGCCACAUUGGGACUGAGAUACGGCCCAG
rnacentral:rRNA from 1 species